CGGGUCAAGGUUGCAGGCUAGCCCUCUGCUAGAUUGCAAAUGGGCUUUAUGGCAAGCCAAAUGCUAGCGAGUGACAAAGAGUAAUAUUAAGUCUUGUUUCAUUCUGUUGACGUUUUGUCCUGCUCGGCUUUGCUUUAGUGAAUCGGGUCAGAUUCGGAAGAAAGCAGCCCUAAUCUAAAGUUAAAGCGCUUGUGGGGUAGCAAAACCGAGGGAUUUACAAGGUAACUUUUUAUUAUUCCUCGAGCAAAACUAGCUGACCCA
rfam:Candidatus Pacearchaeota archaeon CG1_02_31_27 cg1_0.2_scaffold_84_c, whole genome shotgun sequence.